rnacentral:rRNA from 1 species
GACGAAUGCUGGCUGCGUGCUUAACACAUGCAAGUCGAACGGUGAAAGGGAGCUUGCUCCCUGGAUCAGUGGCGAACGGGUGAGUAACACGUGGGCAACCUGCCCCUCACUCUGGGAUAACUCCGGGAAACCGGGGCUAAUACCGGAUACGACCUGGUGCGACAUCGCACCGGGUGGAAAGAACUUCGGUGAGGGAUGGGCCCGCGGCCUAUCAGCUUGUUGGUGGGGUAACGGCCCACCAAGGCGACGACGGGUAGCCGGCCUGAGAGGGCGACCGGCCACACCGGGACUGAGACACGGCCCAGACUCCUACGGGAGGCAGCAGUGGGGAAUAUUGCGCAAUGGGCGAAAGCCUGACGCAGCGACGCAGCGUGAGGGACGAAGGCCUUCGGGUUGUAAACCUCUUUCAGCGGGGACGAAGCGAAAGUGACGGUACCCGCAGAAGAAGCACCGGCUAACUACGUGCCAGCCGCCGCCGUAAUAC